rnacentral:snRNA from 1 species
GUGCUCGCUUUGGCAGCAUAUAUGCUAAAACUAGAAUGAUACAGAGAUUAGCAAGGCCCCUGUGAAAGGAUGGUGUGCAAGAUUUGUGAAGCAUUCCCUAUUUUU